AAAAAACAUUAUAUUUAUCUGUCUAAAAUAUAUAUAUUGAAAAAUUCCCAAAUAAAAUUAAAUGAAAACAAUCUUUUUGUUUCUCACUCUUUUAAUUCUUGUUUCAUCAAGUGUAUCAGAUAUUGUGGAGAAAAGUAAUUCAGAAAGAAAAACUCUUUAUAACUAUGUAGUGAGUCCUCAAACUCCACCAAACAUGAUUCUUGGAAAGAACGAUGAUAUUGAAUCUGAUGAUGAACAUAUUAGAGCAUGUGCGUGGUGUCAUUUUCAUUGUUAUACUUCAGAAUUCAGGGAUGUGAAGUAUUGUAACCCAAAUGAUGGUUGUCAUUGCGGUGAAUACAUAGGUGACAUUUAUAAUUAUAGACGAAAUUAAAAUCAUAAAAAUUAUAUAUAUAUAUAUUAUAAAAAUAAAAACAAG